AGAGUNUGAUCCUGGCUCAGAUUGAACGCUGGCGGCAGGCCUAACACAUGCAAGUCGAACGGUAACAGGAAGCAGCUUGCUGCUUCGCUGACGAGUGGCGGACGGGUGAGUAAUGUCUGGGGAUCUGCCUGAUGGAGGGGGAUAACUACUGGAAACGGUAGCUAAUACCGCAUAACGUCGCAAGACCAAAGAGGGGGACCUUCGGGCCUCUUGCCAUCAGAUGAACCCAGAUGGGAUUAGCUAGUAGGUGGGGUAACGGCUCACCUAGGCGACGAUCCCUAGCUGGUCUGAGAGGAUGACCAGCCACACUGGAACUGAGACACGGUCCAGACUCCUACGGGAGGCAGCAGUGGGGAAUAUUGCACAAUGGGCGCAAGCCUGAUGCAGCCAUGCCGCGUGUAUGAAGAAGGCCUUCGGGUUGUAAAGUACUUUCAGCGGGGAGGAAGGCGAUGCGGUUAAUAACCGUGUCGAUUGACGUUACCCGCAGAAGAAGCACCGGCUAACUCCGUGCCAGCAGCCGCGGUAAUACGGAGGGUGCAAGCGUUAAUCGGAAUUACUGGGCGUAAAGCGCACGCAGGCGGUCUGUCAAGUCGGAUGUGAAAUCCCCGGGCUCAACCUGGGAACUGCAUCCGAAACUGGCAGGCUUGAGUCUUGUAGAGGGGGGUAGAAUNNCAGGUGUAGCGNNNAAAUGCGUAGAGAUCUGGAGGAAUACCGGUGGCGAAGGCGGCCCCC
rnacentral:rRNA from 1 species